rnacentral:rRNA from 1 species
UACGGAGGAUGCGAGCGUUAUCCGGAUUUAUUGGGUUUAAAGGGUGCGCAGGCGGCGAGUUAAGUCAGCGGUAAAAUUUCGGGGCUCAACCCCGACAAGCCGUUGAAACUGGUGAUCUUGAGUGGGCGAGAAGUAUGCGGAAUGCGUGGUGUAGCGGUGAAAUGCAUAGAUAUCACGCAGAACUCCGAUUGCGAAGGCAGCAUACCGGCGCCCGACUGACGCUGAGGCACGAAAGCGUGGGGAUCGAACAGG